CGAAGGAGGGAUUUAUAUAGACCACACAUUCAAGGAAGGAGUCUGCCUAAGUAUUGCAUUUAUCGUUCCAUUGUUAGGCCGAUUUCGAUCGCCAUUUUGUUGUGUAGUUAAUGACGACUUGUUAUUUGCUAACUUGACGAGUUAGCGACGUGCAUUGGUUUGGAAGUGUAUGCAUGUGUGAACCACGAUGAGCGUUGCACAAUAGCAAAGCCCUGUUGAAAGGAUAAGUCCUUGAGUGCCUCGAGUAGGAAUCGCCGAACAUCGUCAUACAGCAGCAUGUUUUCGUUGAACGAUCGAUCUUACAUCAUCAACCAUUGGAUGAGUUACAUGUGACUGAAGAGUCUUCAGUCACAUGUAAGUGGAGACAAACAAACGGGGCAAUGGCAACAAUAGAAUUAGUCAGCUGUUUUUUAUAUAGAAUUACAUGUAUGGUGGCCAUUAACAAUCUGGCAGGUCCAACCAGGGAAUGAGUUGCAUGUGACUGAGACCAACAAAUAGGGCAAUAAAAUUUAGAAUAUUGCAGUCUUUCUAUCAAUGUUUCAUACAAGCUUCUUGUCUUCUACAUCCAUUAGGGUCCAGGUAAACAAUGAAACCAAAAACAAAUGAGGCAUUUUUUUAUUGGCUUUUUGUUUGUUGUUAUUGUUACACUAAACUUUCAUAAACGAUGAAGUGAACCAACUAAUACAAGUCUUGCUAACGUCUGUAAACGGAUUUCAAUUAUCGUUGGUUAUCUUGUUCGCGUUCAGUGUCAUUAAACGACUACGCCUAAAAUAAACGCCAGAAACUAGCAGUUGGUUUUGGAUUUUUCAUGGCGUUUUUUUUUCAUCUCUUAUAAUAAUGAGCACAAAAGAUUAGGAUGUAUCAAAUUUCAAAUCAAAUACAAAAAAAUCGGGCUUGUUUUGUCGGGCUUGAUUAUUAGUCAGACUUUUUCAUACAAAACUCAACUUACAAUUAAGCAUGACUUUUCCCUUUUUUUUUGGCUGCGGUUGCAGGGCGUUUCAUGUUACUGUUUCGUCUUGAUGGUUAAAGUUUGAAGAAAGAUGUAAAUGUUAAAUUAAUAUGAAGUUUACAAGGUCGCUUAAGUUCAUUAGCCGAAAUGUGUACAUUGACCUCUUUCGGUUGCAUUAUCUGUCAGUCUUGAAUACGUACAAGUCUGAGGAAGAUGUCGGAUUUGUCCAGCAUAACAUCUUGCUCCGUGUGAAGAUCUUCGUUUGAUAAUACCCGUCCGGCAAAGGUUUUGGCGUGUCAUCACCGGUACUGCAGCGAGUGUGGCGAUAACUUAUUAGACGAUGAACUCUUCACAAUCAAAUGCCCGCUAUGCCGUACCGUUACCAACGUAAGUGGAGGUCACGCUAACAUAGAUUUUCACGUCCGUACGGACUACGAUUUCAUGUCUCUGGUCGAACACGAGAAGUUGUCUUCGUGCUGAAGUACAGGGCCAGCACCACCAGCAGCCGGCCCAUCUCCGAGUGCCGUGAUAUCUUCAAAAGAUAUGACUGAAGAAAACAGAUUCAUCUUGUCAUCAAGUACUUCUACUGAAUCAACCGAUUCUACCCAAAUGGAGAAGAAAAAUGCUUCAGCUAAAGGAAAGGAGCUGAAGAAGAUAAAAAAAGAGGAAAAUAAAGAAAAAGAAAAAAAACAAGAAAAUGGAUUUGAACAGCCACCGUAGUUCAUCGGAAAGCUCGAGUUCGUCGUCAACAUCACAAUUGUUCUCAGCAAGUGACAGCUCAGCCGAGGAAAAAUCGAAAAAGAAGUUUAACCACAGGAGCAAUUACUUGGCAUCACCAAAAAGCGAAAUGAAAUGCUUAAUGAAGAAAUUUUCUAAAAAGCCUGCUCUAAAAAUAGCACUUAAGGAUGAAAAGGAUCUUUUACAAAAGAUGUAAUUCCUGAUAGCAACCGCUGACGCCAGAGAACCACCUCCUACUUUGGGGCAUGAAAGUUUUUCAGCAUCCGGCCUUGGAUUGCGCUGCGACGUAAAAUUUCGUUGCAAUGGGUCGCCAAAUAAUGUUUUUUGCGUAUUCAAGAGGUAUUACCAUUUCAAUCAUGCAAUAAUUAAAUGUUAAAAAAAAUUUUUCAACUUGGCAUAGGACUUUUCCACGUCUAAACGAAAUAGACCAAUUCUACAUUUGCACCAAGUUGCAGAGACUCAGCCGUCAAUUACCAAUGAAGCACUACACAACACCAACCGCCCACUUACUUAAGGUAAUAUAGAUAAGUUAUUCAUUUUAGUCAAAAAAUAGAGUUAUGUUUUUCUUUCCACUUAGCGAUUUCAGGGAAAAUUGAUUGUUCUUGUUCCCUUGAAGAGGGGUAUUCAGUACGAUUUUGUCGGAAGAGAUGGUGGACAUCUACGAAAAAAACGUUCCUAUAACAUUGUGGUCUAGUCACAUCGACCUGUGCACCGAGAAGAGAAAAACUUGUCAAGGUUUAACGGAAUUUGUCUGUUUCUCUACGUGCUCUUUAAACUUAAACAAUUCAGACAAAACUGUAAUGUGAAACGCCCGUGUUUGCUUGGAAUUAGAAGAAUGAAUAGCCAUGUACAUAAUGA